CUCAAUGAAAAUUCAAUAGCCGCAAUAUUAUUGUGCUAAGGUAGCAUAAUCAUUUGUCUUUUAAUUAAAGACUAGAACGAAAGAUUCUAUAUUUUUAUUUCUUUCUUAUAUAUAAAUUAUUUAAAUUAUUCUAAAUAUAAAAAAAUAUUUAUAAAACAAAAAGACGACAAGACCCUAUUGAACUUAACUAAAGUUAAACUGGGGUAGUUAAUUAAAUAUAAUUUUAAUUUUAUUUAUAAAAACAACCUAAUUCAAUUAAAUAUAUUAAGUUACCAUAGGGAUAACAGCGUAAUAAAUUUCUAAAGAUCUUAUCCAAAAAUUUGUUUACGACCUCGAUGUUGAAUUAAUAAUCUAUUAAAUGCAAUAAUUUAAUAAGAAAGUCUGUUCGACUU
rnacentral:rRNA from 1 species